rnacentral:rRNA from 1 species
AUGUCGUGGUCUUCUGGUGGUUCGAGUGCUCCCAGCUUCCGUCGAGCCACCGGAAGGAGAGGGGAGGAAUCUAGGUCGCCGGUGCCGUACCGCGAGGCCCCGAUGGCGUACGAGCCAGCGAGGCUCUGCUGGUGCAACCCCCGUCGGAAGGCGCCUAGGUGGAUCUCCUGGAGCCGUCAGAAUCCAGGCAGGAGAUACUACGCCUGUGUUGAUGCGAUGCAUGGUGGUUGUGGAUUCGUGGAAUGGCAUGAUGACCCACUUCCCAAGUUUUGGAGUGAUUUGAUUGGUGAUUUGCGAGAUGAAGUGCGUAGGCUGAGAGGUCAAGGAAGUGGUGCUGUGAUUGAAGAUCCCACUGCAGUUGUGGCUCUCCCUGAAGCUGAAACAGGAGGAAUGGGAAUGGCUAUGGCUCUGCAAGAUCAAUUGAAGCAGAAAAAUUUAGAGAUAGAUGCACUGAAGGGCAAAUAUCAGACUGCUGUCAUGCUGUUUGUUGUAUUUGUGGUGGGUUUAGUUGUAGGGAAGAUGCUACUGUAA